rnacentral:rRNA from 1 species
AUCCUGGCUCAGGACGAACGCUGGCGGCGUGCCUAAUACAUGCAAGUCGAGCGAACAGAAGGGAGCUUGCUCCCGGAUGUUAGCGGCGGACGGGUGAGUAACACGUGGGUAACCUGCCUGUAAGACUGGGAUAACUCCGGGAAACCGGAGCUAAUACCGGAUAGUUCCUUGAACCGCAUGGUUCAAGGAUGAAAGACGGUUUCGGCUGUCACUUACAGAUGGACCCGCGGCGCAUUAGCUAGUUGGUGGGGUAAUGGCUCACCAAGGCGACGAUGCGUAGCCGACCUGAGAGGGUGAUCGGCCACACUGGGACUGAGACACGGCCCAGACUCCUACGGGAGGCAGCAGUAGGGAAUCUUCCGCAAUGGACGAAAGUCUGACGGAGCAACGCCGCGUGAGUGAUGAAGGUUUUCGGAUCGUAAAGCUCUGUUGUUAGGGAAGAACAGGUGCGAGAGUAACUGCUCG